AACCCUACCCUUUCCAGUGCUCCCAAAUCCAUGCAGCCGCCUCCCCUCUCCCUCCCUUCCUCCCCAAACGUGCCGGCCGCCUCCUCUCCACCUGCCGCCUCCCCUCUCCCUCCCUUCCUCCCUAAACGCGCUAGCCGCCUCCUCUCCACCUGCCAUACCGCGUCCCUACUGCCGCCAUGGCCUCUUCAGGAGGCACGCCCCUCCAUGGUGCGAAGCAGCAGACCAGGAUCUGGAUGAGGAAGAGGAGAUCCGGGCCCCCCAACGGUGGAUCGAUCGAUGCGAGGUGAUGACGAGCUCCUUCGGACAUGGGGGAGCAGCGAGACUAGAGAUCCAGUCAAAGCUGCAGCGCUCCGGUCCCCAAACUGCCUCCAGGCUCGCUUCCUCCAUCCUCCCGCAUCACACCCAUCUCGAUGGAUGGCGUGCAGGCAUGGAGGCGAGGUUCUCCGACGGUGGUGGGAACCUCCAGGCAGAGAGCGACCCCAUGGAUCCGUCCCUGCAGGAGAGAAGGAAGGAGAGGAGACAGGCCAUGGAGAUGGGAUGAGUGCGUGACCCCAGGAUUUUGCGCUGUCGUCUUCUUUCGCCGGUCGGUGCCCUGGAAGAGCGACACCGUCCAGGCAUUGUAUGGGAUGGAUCUAUCAUACUGGGAUUAGUUGUAGACUUCCUUGUUGAACCCUACAGGGAGCAAUGCAUCCCCAGUUUGCUUCCAGAGAAGGAAGGGGAAGAGGGUUUUCUUGUUGCUGCUAUUCCUCGUGGAUAUUCAAGAGGCAACUUGGCACCUAAUGUCAGCAACGUGCUUAUCGGUGACGAGGGAAAUGAAAGAAGGCUGCAAUGGAAUUUGUACUAGAUCAGAUUUUGGCCAUAUAGUUUCCGAUGACUAGAAGUCUAAAACUGAUGAUAGGGCAGAUUGUUUUGAUUCUGAUUACUUGGAGAUCUUGUGGUUUGCUGUCCCUGGAUCAGUCAGACCUAUGGCAGCAUCAACUCGUUGAUCCUAGAGGCCAUGGUUCUCGAGGUGAGUUGAGUUGCUGCUUGGUUGGAGAUGUUGAUGUCGUUCGAGACGCCCGCUGGAUUCACACUUUUCAAGGUUCUGAAUAAGGGCAAGCUCGACAAGGUCAAUUGGUACAGGUAUGAUCUUCAUGGAGCUAGCCAUCAUUGGAUUUGGUAAUACAUAAUCACUUAUUCAGAGAGCCCAAGGUGAGAAGGGACGACCAUCUAGAACACCGCCACCUACUAAUCAGUGAGCUACUAUAUGUCUUUGAAUGAGUUACUUAACAAGAUAAGGCAGGAGUUUCCUACCUUUCUUCUGCAAAUCUGGAAUGCCUUUAUGGCAUGAUCAUGUGAAAAAGUACCUUGAUGCAGUAAUGGAUUUGAUUAUCACUGGUUACUCUGUUUUCACGAAUUACUAUCCAACUGCUUGUCAGAGACAAAUUCAUAAGGUUUGACAAUACAUGUUGGCCAAUUGUUAGGUAACAAAGCAAGCAUAUAGUUACAGAACAAAAGGAUAUAGUCAUUUUUAUGUUCCUACAAGUAAAUGGCAGCGACAGAGUGGCACCCAGCCAACAAAGGAUUUCAGGCCGAUCAAUACCCUUAUGCCAAUAUACAUGGUUCAGUUCUGGACCACAACAGUUCACAUUUUUGUUACUGAAAACCCUGAGGGCCUCAACUAUCAAUGAUGGUUGAAAGAAGUAGUAGAGAAAGAUACCACACAGGCUGUUACAAAACUUAUUGCUGGACCUAUACAUCACACAUUGAUCUUCACAUCCAUGCCCUCGACAAUAAAGGGGAUCAAUCGCGUGAUGGAUGGGCUGGAGUUUGUUUCCAUGGCCGACUACGCAUCGUCACCAGGAUGCCCGAUGGAUAGCCGUUGUGCCAGCUCCGAGGUGCCGUGCAGUUCGUCGCCAUGGCUGACUUUGCGCGUGAUGGAGCAGAUGGAUGGGUAGCCCGUGGUGGUACAUCAGGGACGAUGUGUCGCACGGCCGCCGCCAUGCGGUCAGGCAGUGGCGAGAAUGGCAUGACCAGCGGCCGGAUUUUGGGGGCAUUGGAGGAGAUAAGGAAUGAAACAGGGAAGCGGGAAGGAGACGCCUGUUGCAUUAAGAUUCGGGCGGGAAGUUGGCGAGCACUGGAGUAGGUCUCACGAUUGGGUUCGUACGACCCGGUCGUAUAGGAUUUUUUUCUGUCCCAUGCCAUAUUAAUUUCAGAAGAAUAAAUUCUCAUUCCGAUGUUCAUUGUGUUUUUAUGUACUGCUAUAUCUUAAAAAGCAAGUUUUAGCUAAAACCAGAGGCGUGGUUAAGAUACUCUUCGCACCUAGGAUUUGUGUAUAUGUUCAGAUUGCUCUCUGCGCCAUUUUGUUACCCAGCUGAUGAACUGAGAAAAAAAGGAAAGGGAUAGACAGUCUUCGCUGGCUCCGCCCCCUGCCGCUUCAUAUUUAGCUCCUUAUGGGCCACAGGCAUCGCUCUACGUGGGUUGGGCUAAAUAACAUAUGGGCUAUCCUAAUACCUCCUGAUCCCUAUAUCUCCGUAUAUGCACAACAAAGACAUAUUUUUUCUUAGGUUUCUUAUCUUUUCCCCUCCUUUUUUGCAGGAAAAAUAUGCAUGGCUAGAUUUCUCAUCAUGAUAACCAUGUUUCCAAACUUGCUAAAAAAAUACAACCAUGCCAACUUUACUCUCUCAUCAUAGUGCCCAUAUUUUCAAACUGAACAUAUGCAUAUCAUGCAAAGUUUCCCUUU